rnacentral:lncRNA from 1 species
AAUAGAGCAUUGGUUUCAGAUUGGGUACUUUUGGACUUCUUGACCGGUUGACGCAUAUGUCUAUAGUAGCAGUCGUUGCAUGCAUAGUUACAGUUCUUACUUUAUAGUUGUUUUGCUACUAUAGUAGAUAUUCAUGUAUGCUUUCGGUUCCAGUUACAGUAGCGAUAGCCGUUAUUCAGUCUAGUUCUUACUUUCUGUCAGUUUAUUGCUACUGUAUUUAGUAUAUCUGCUCAUUAUCUUACAUCUCUUUCGUUUACUAUUGUUCCUACUGUAUUUCCACUGACCCGUGUUGUUGUAUAGCUCUUCCUGAUCCGGUGAGUACUCCUCGCCUUCUUCGGCUUGCGGUACCCACUGGGAGGGGAGACAUGUUUACAUGUUCUCACCUCCCCCAUCAUUUUUCAGGUAUCGCAGGCGAUGUGUAUUGGGACGAGAUGCGAGAUACGUAUGUAGCAGUUGAUAGAUCUUCUGACCCAGGUUGUUCGGUUUAACUCUUACCCUUUUUAUUUCUGUUGAUAUAUAGCUUAGAGUGUUUAUAUGGUUCAGUAUUUUUAUUACAUUUGAAAAUAUGGGUUUUCAUGAAUGUAAUAAACUGGUUUGUGAAUUUUAUAAAAUAAAAGGUUUUCUACCCCUCGUGGUAGCAUUUAAAAAAGAUAAAAGUUCCUGUGUAGGGAACAGUUUUCAAAAGAUUUUCUGUGGAUUUUGCAUCUUAGUAUUUCAAAACCUGUUUCUGUUGUUAGAAACAUUUUAACUGAUAGAUGUAGAUUGAUGUUUAAAUAUCGAAUGUAUAAAUAUGAAUCUGUGGUGAAUGGUGUAUGAAUAUAUAUAACGGUUGGUUAUUUGUAUGUUCAUUUGUUGUGGUUGUGCCUGGAUAACUUCUUGUACUUGUGCGACGCUGUGCAAAUACAGGGGAGACUCUGUCCGUGUGAACAGUAGAUUCCCUGUAUUUUUGGCGGAUCUGGCAUACUCUGGGGUCAGGUUUUCAAAAAAAAAAAUUCAGACGCUUUUCCGCUUUGUUUUAAACUGAAAAGGGACCCCGGGGCGUGACAAUAGUAGCAGUACUAUUGCUAUAGUACUUGCUUGUCUAAAUUUAAUUUUAAUUAUGAUAUUGAAGCAUUAAUUAAUCUAAUUAAUAUAUUUAAAUAAUUAUUUUUUUCUCAAAUAAUAAAACAAUUAAUUAAUUUAUUAUUUAUAAUUAUAAAAUAAAUUAUUAUUAUUUUUACUUAUUAAUAAUUUAUUUAUUUAUUUAAUUAUAAUUAAUUAAUUAUUAGUUAAUUUUUUAAUUUAUAAUUAAUUAAUUUAUCAUUAAUUUAUUCUUAAUUAAUUAAUUAAUUAUAAUUAAUUAAUUUAUUUAUUAUUAUUAUUUAUAAUUAUUUAAUUAUUAUUUAAUUAAUUAACUUAAUAUUGAUUAAUUAAUUUUUAAUUUAUAUUUAUUAAUAAUUUAUUAUUUAUAACUAUUAAGAAUUUAUUAUUAUUAAUUAAUUAAUUUAUAAUUAUUUAAUAAUUUAUUAUUUUUUAUUAUUAAAUAAUUAAUUAAUUAAUAAUUUUAUUAUUAAGUAAUUAAUUUAUAAUUUAUAAUUAGUAAUAAUUUAUUAUUUAUAAUUAGUUUUAGUUUAUUAUUUAUACUAUAUUAUCUAAUUAAUUUAUUACUAAUAGUUUAUUACUAAUAAUUUAUUAUUAAUUAAAAUUUUAUCAUUUAUUAUUAAUUAAUUAAUUAAUUAAUUAAUUAAUAAUAAGUUAAUUAAUUAUUAACUAAAUAAUUUUUAAUUUUUAAUUUUUUAUAAUUUAUUAUCUAAUUAAUUUUUUAUUUAUUAAUUAAUUUAUAAUUUAGAAUUAUUAAUAAUUUGCUAUUUAUAAAUAUUUAUAAUUUAUUGUUAUUUAAUUACUUUAUUAUCUAUAAUUAUUAAUAUUAAUUUAUUAUUUUUAAGUAAUAUUUUGAUGUUAAUUAAUUAGAUAAAGUAAUUUUAAUUUAAAAUUAUAACUCUUAUUCCUUUGUUUCCAUCUAACCAUCCAAAUACUUUUUAUCUUAUUCUUAGGAACAACCCAAUUUUUAUCCAAACGCAAAAUUAGUCUAGCUUCUGCUUAUAUCUGAACUUGUACUUAUCUAUGAAAUAAUCAGUUCUUAUUUAUACCCGAACCAAAACACAAUCUUAUAGUAUAAUAAAAAUAAAAGUGAAAUA